AUUGAACGCUGGCGGCAUGCCUUACACAUGCAAGUCGAACGGCAGCACGGGUGCUUGCACCUGGUGGCGAGUGGCGAACGGGUGAGUAAUGCAUCGGAACGUACCCUGGAGUGGGGGAUAACUAUCCGAAAGGAUAGCUAAUACCGCAUAUUCUAUGAGUAGGAAAGCGGGGGAUCUUCGGACCUCGCGCUCUGGGAGCGGCCGAUGUCAGAUUAGCUAGUUGGUGGGGUAAAGGCCUACCAAGGCUACGAUCUGUAGCGGGUCUGAGAGGAUGAUCCGCCACACUGGGACUGAGACACGGCCCAGACUCCUACGGGAGGCAGCAGUGGGGAAUUUUGGACAAUGGGGGCAACCCUGAUCCAGCCAUGCCGCGUGAGUGAAGAAGGCCUUCGGGUUGUAAAGCUCUUUCGGCCGGGAAGAAAUCGCCAUCUCUAAUAUAGGUGGUGGAUGACGGUACCGGAAUAAGAAGCACCGGCUAACUACGUGCCAGCCGCCGCGGUAACAC
rnacentral:rRNA from 1 species